ACAUCUUGCAUUAGGAAGUGACUUAACAACAUUAGGCCUCAAUCUGAACUCUCCUGAAAAUCUCUACCCCAAAUUUGCGUCACCCUGGGCAUCUUCACCUUGUCGACCUCAAGACAUAGACUUCCAUGUUCCAUCUGAGUACUUAACGAACAUUCACAUUAGGGAUAAGCUGGCUGCAAUAAAACUUGGCCGAUAUGGUGAAGACCUUCUCUUCUAUCUCUAUUACAUGAAUGGAGGAGACGUAUUACAACUUUUAGCUGCAGUGGAGCUGAGUUCCAUCUGGAAUAUGACAAAUUAGAAGAACGGCCUCACCUGCCAUCCACCUUCAACUACAACCCUGCUCAGCAAGCCUUCU
rnacentral:lncRNA from 1 species